UGGCACUGUUCGUAAUCUGUCAUCAUUACCUGUGGAUGAUGGGUUCCAUUCCAGUGCAACAGGAAUCCCCACUGAGCAGCCGGACUAACUUACCUUGGUCAUCUGUGAUUUGGGAACAGUU